rnacentral:rRNA from 1 species
AUACAGAGGGUGCGAGCGUUAAUCGGAAUUACUGGGCGUAAAGCGCGCGUAGGCGGCUUGGUCAGUCGGAUGUGAAAGCCCCGGGCUCAACCUGGGAAUGGCAUUCGAUACUGCCAGGCUAGAGUAUGGGAGAGGGAAGUGGACUUUCCGGUGUAGCGGCGAAAUGCGUAGAUAUCGGAAGGAACACCAGUGGCGAAGGCGACUUCCUGGCCCAAUACUGACGCUGAGGUGCGAAAGCGUGGGGAGCGAACAGGAUUAGAUACCCUAGUAGUCC